AUUAGAAAAGGGUGCCUUGAGGCUGACCCAAGCAUACAGGAUGUAUACAAGAGGCGCCAAUAGGCACAAAAAGAAAUAGAGAUACAAUACCCGCCCUCAACUAGUGCCUAGCCAAUCAAAAAAAUUAAUCAAAGGAAGAGGACCCUCAUUUACAACCGAAUUAGUCUACAACCAAAGAUUACAAACAAAAGAAUUCUUCAACCUAUGAAUUGAUAACUCUUCAUUAUCAAAAGCUAUCCUGUUUCUUUCCUUCCAAACCGCCCAAAAAAUGCACAAAGGGGCUGCGUUCCACACCUUCCUACGCUUCUUGCCCAACUUGAAGCCACACCAACCACUAAGAGUAUCUCUAACCGAAGAAGGGAGGACCUAAGUAACACCAAACAAUGCAAACAAUAACUCCCAUAACCCUCUUGCCUUAGAGCAAUUCUACCAGUCUUCCAUUGAACCUUCUCAUGUAAGAAAAGAAUAAGAGUGGUAACUGUGGGUGCAUUUAACAAUUUCUUUUACAUGUUCAUUAUGUCAUGUUUCAUUCUCUCCCUCUCCCGACUACAUGCAUGUAUACAACAUGGGUAUAUGUUUAAGCCUAAUUAACAUAGGGGACUUAGCAAUGACGACUAAAUUUUUUUGUUCAUUUUUAGAACCAAUGCAGGAAUUAUGGCAGCCCCAUAUAUGCUUUCCAUAGACAACAUAGAAAUGCAGUUUGCGACAAACCACUUAGGUGUGUUACAUUUAUUGUAAAGUAUGUUUGGUUCAAAAAAUAUGCUCAUAAAGCUGUGGGAGUUUUGAAAACAAUGAUAUCCUUCUUUCUUGAGAAACGUCAACCAUCAGCAAUACUGUUUAUAGUUUUCUAAAGGUUUAAUGAGACGUUCUCAAGUAAUGAAGUUAGAAAGAUUGGGAUCCUUGCUCAUAAUAGAGAUAAGAGCCAUAGUUUGCUUUAAAAAAUUUAUAAUCAAGCAUCCUCGACCCUGCUAGUUCCGUGUAAAGUAUUCAGAACUAUAUAUAGCUUGUAUUUUAUUUCUAUACUUUUCAUCUGUUUUUACGUUCAUGGAUCACUUUUUCAUGUUAUGUAGCUGCCCUAAUUUAAUGCUAUUGUCUAUACGUCAUGUGACAAAUCUCAUCGAAUGAAUCAGGAAAAUUUAUGAAGAAUGCUUGAUUUAUUUUGUGUGGACAUUUUUUUGGGUGGAUUACAGACGAUGAUCUUUGUCAUGAAUGCUUGAAACAUGACUCUUGCCAAUCUUCAUAUCACUCAAACUAAUUAAGGUGGAAGUUUUUGGUGCACCAUAAUGUCAAAAUAAACAAAUUUCAUAUGUCAGGGAUGCAUAGCAUGCCAACAAGGCAAACAACCCCUUCAAUUCCAGUAUUACACUAUUAAAUUUACCGUCCAUUAUUUAAUCAGCAUUAAUUUGACCGGAACAGAGUAGUGUAGACUGGUUAUACCUGUGUGAAGUUUCACCCUACCCAUCCUCUAUACAACAUUGGCACACAGUAUAAUGGGUACAGUGCGUAUUUGUUAAAUGUUCUUUGAAUUUAGCAAUUUAUUAUUCUUUAAUUGAGUUUUAACUUGCUCAUAUAACAGGUAUAUCAGCCUAUAUGCUUAUGGCCAAUCAAAGCUUUCGAAUAUUUUGCAUGCUAAUGAGCUUGCACGGUGUUUUAAGGCACUCAAUCUUCUAUUGGAUAAGAACAAAAUAGGCAGUAAUUUUAUGGUACAAAAGCAUUGAUGAAUUGUAGUUUUUUCAAACUAGCUUGUCCACCAUGUGCAAUUUUUAUUGUCAUUAUCUUUUGUUUUUUAAUAUUUGAUUCUGUUAGACCAUGGAAUUUUUACUCUAAAUCAUGAGUUGCUGUAGAAAUUUUAAAUUUGACAUUUUUUGGUGCUUAAUUCUUAAUUAUAAUUCCUUUGUAGCUUCUUAUCCAAACUAUCUAUGCUUGAUGUAACUCCCCCUACUGUUUGAAUGGUUCAUGGUAUGAUUCCUUCUGAUUCGGUAAUGAAUAGUCACUGAUGGGCUGGAGGAUUUUCUUCUGAGUUAAGAUGGCAUGAUCAAUCCAAAUAUUCUGCUUAUUGUGCAUUAGCAUUGCAUACAUUGUGGGUCCAUUUCCGAAAAGCUUAAGCUUUUUUGUCAAAUUGGUUUUGUUGACAUAAUCCAAAACCAGCUUAACUAGGUCUUGAGUUCUGAGUCUCUCUGACCAUUUAUCCAUGUAAGGAGGUUUAGUAGCCAGGUAUUCAUUAUGGUCCAUUAUCCCAUUACUUAAGGUUUUAGGUCUAAUUGGCAGCUUAACAAUAGGAAACCUUUCUAAUAAGCCAUUUGGAUAAAGGUUUUAGCUAGAUAUACAUUGUGGGCUCAUUACCUAAUGGCUUAAGCUGUUAAGUCAAAUUAGUAGUUGAACAAUAGAACAUCUUUUUGAAAAAGCCGUUAAGGUCAAAUUAGAUCAUGUCAUUGUUUUUCAUAUCUCUUGGAUAUAUGUUUGUUUGUUUUCAUAUCACUCUCUAUCUUUUGGUAUUGAUGUCAUACUAAGUUAAACCUGCCAUCACAUUGGUAGUUGUUUCUCUGAAUAGGAAGAUGGGGUGAACAUAACUGCUAAUUCGCUCUACCCAGGAACGAUUGUCACAAAUCUUUUCCGUCAUAGCAACAUUGUUACUUGUAACAACUUUAUUUUCUUAAUUUAUGUUUUGCGGGUAUAAGUUCACAUAUGGAUAAAGGUUGAGCUGUUUUUCUUCAAUCCUAAGAAUGCUAGCUCAACUUUUUAGAAAAACUAUUUCAUGCUCAUUCCUUGUUCUUCAUAGAACUUCUUGGCAUUUUCCCCAGUGCCUCCAAUUUUUGAUGUGUUGGCAUAUGCUCGUAUGAUUUUGAAUUUGGAAGAACCAUUUCCUAGCUGUUUUAACUGAUCAUUGCGAGUUUUUCUCUUCAAAUUCCAUGGACCUUCAUUUUCUUCUUCUUAAAAGAGUCUGUUGAUACAACUCUACCGGGUUUUAUAGCCUUUGUUUUUUCUUGUGGUUUGACACAGGAGUUGUUAAUAUCAGCUUAAAAAUGUUCAGCAGGAAGCUGCAACCACAUGCUAUGUGGCAUUGCAUCCACCGGUGAAGGGGGUGAGCGGCCAAUAUUUUUCUGACUGUAACAUAGCCAAACCCACCACACAGGCCAAAGACCCAGAAUUGGCCAAGAAACUCUGGGAAUUCAGCAUGAAUUUGAUCUCAGCCUGAUAUUGGUUAAAUAUUUUAUUUAUUUAGCAAUCAAGUGUAGUUGCCACUGACAUAAGAAUGGAGGUCAAUCUUUCAAGAAACUUUAAGUUUUCCAUUUUUGACUCAAUAAAGUUGGGACUUGGGCA